AUUGAACGCUGGCGGCAGGCCUAACACAUGCAAGUCGAGCGAGCGGCGGACGGGUGAGUAAUGUCUGGGAAACUGCCUGAUGGAGGGGGGUAACUACUGGAAAAGGUAGCUAAUACCGCAUACCAUCAGAUGUGCCCAGAUGGGAUUAGCUCGUAGGUGGGGUAACGGCUCACCUAGUCGAAGCUCCCUAGCUGGUCUGUGAGGAUGACCAGCCACACUGGGACGGAGACACGGUCCAGACUCCUACGGGAGGCAGCAGUGGGGAAUAUUGCACAAUGGGAGCAAGCCUGAUGCAGCCAUGCCGCGGGUGUGAAGAAGGCCGUCGGGUUGUAAAGCACUUUCAGCGGGGAGGCGUUACCCGCAGAAGAAGCACCGGCUAACUCCGUGCCAGCAGCCGCGGUAAUUC
rnacentral:rRNA from 1 species